rnacentral:rRNA from 1 species
GCACAAGCGGUGGAGUAUGUGGUUUAAUUCGAUGCAACGCGAAGAACCUUACCUGGUCUUGACAUCCCGGAGACCCUUAGGAAACUAGGGGGUGCUUCCAUCUGGAAGAAUCUGGAGACAGGUGCUGCAUGGCUGUUGUCAGCUCGUGUCGUGAGAUGUUGGGUUAAGUCCCGCAACGAGCGCAACCCUUGCCUUUAGUUGCCAGCAGUUCGGCUGGGCACUCUAAAGGGACUGCCGGUGUUAAACCGGAGGAAGGUGGGGAUGACGUCAAGUCCUCAUGGCCUUUAUGACCAGGGCUACACACGUACUACAAUGGCCGAUACAAAGGGCAGCGACACUGCGAGGUGAAGCCAAUCCCGUAAAAUCGGUCUCAGUCCGGAUUGGAGUCUGCAACUCGACUCCAUGAAGUUGGAAUCGCUAGUAAUCGUGGAUCAGCAUGCCACGGUGAAUACGUUCCCGGGCCUU